rnacentral:rRNA from 1 species
UACGUAGGGGGCUAGCGUUGUCCGGAAUCAUUGGGCGUAAAGAGCGUGUAGGCGGCCCGGUAAGUCCGCUGUGAAAGUCGGGGGCUCAACCCGUCGAAUGCCGGUGGAUACUGUCGGGCUAGAGUGCGGAAGAGGCGAGUGGAAUUCCUGGUGUAGCGGUGAAAUGCGUAGAGAUCGGGAGGAACACCAGUGGCGAAGGCGGCUCACUGGGCCGAGCCUGACGCUGAGACGCGAAGGCGUGGGGAGCGAACGGGG